rnacentral:lncRNA from 1 species
UCUUUCUCCAUCUGUUUGAGCCUCUCUCGCUCUCUAUAUUAAGUUGUUAAAUCUCAGUCAAUCUUUAUUUCACUGUGUCUCUCCAUCUCUACAUGUCUCUGUUAUUCUGUUUCUCUGUCUCUGUUCUCACCUCUGUCGCUCCCCUCACCCCACACUCUGUCUCACACACACCAGGAGCUCCAUAAAUAUUUGUUCUCAGCCACACUCUGACCACGCCUCUUUCUCUUAUGUGUCUCUCCAUCUCCGAGUGGCUCUGCUCAUCACAUCCCUGGAUUUUAUAACCAUAUGCUGAUGGGCCUGCCCUCCCCGCGUGCACAUACACUUGCCUGGGAUAAGCUUCUUCUGCCUGCUUAUCUCCUGCGGGAAUUGGAAAUGCUAGUUUUCUCCCCACCUCCCCAAGACCCCCGCCAAUCUCGUUCCCAGGAACAAGAUGAGGCAUCUGGCCUCAGCCAAAACUUCCACCCUCCACCUUGGCUGUUUUCCUUCUCUGCAUGCUCCUGGGACCUUGGGCUCUCCAUCUUUCCAUGUCCGUAGCCCCAGAGAGCCAGGAAGGGGAAGCGGCGUCAAGUGCCUGGAAAAACAGCCCCACGACUUGAGUUCCUCCCUAAGACUCAGGAGUUCCAGCCCCAUGUCCAUCCUAUUUCAAAAUCCAGGCACUAGAUAAACCACAUAGAAGCCAGGAGUGUAGGCCCCCAGAUCCCUCCCCUCUCAGACCCUGGGGUCUCAGUCCCUUCUCUCCAAGGACUCGGGAAUUUGGGCCUCUGAUCCUCCUGGCCACACUACCCACCCCCGCACCCCCCCAUACACACACACACACACACACACACACACACAUACACACAGGACUUAGGACAGAUGUUCACCGUCUGAUUUCCAAAUCCUCCUGGGCCUGUGUGGGGGUGGGGAGAGAUUGGCAGAUAAAUCCACCGAC